rnacentral:rRNA from 1 species
ACGCUGGCGGCGUGCCUAAUACAUGCAAGUCGAACGCACAGCGAAAGGUGCUUGCACCUUUCAAGUGAGUGGCGAACGGGUGAGUAACACGUGGACAACCUGCCUCAAGGCUGGGGAUAACAUUUGGAAACAGAUGCUAAUACCGAAUAAAACUUAGUGUCGCAUGACACAAAGUUAAAAGGCGCUUCGGCGUCACCUAGAGAUGGAUCCGCGGUGCACUAGUUAGUUGGUGGGGUAAAGGCCUACCAAGACAAUGAUGCAUAGCCGAGUUGAGAGACUGAUCGGCCACAUUGGGACUGAGACACGGCCCAAACUCCUACGGGAGGCUGCAGUAGGGAAUCUUCCACAAUGGGCGAAAGCCUGAUGGAGCAACGCCGCGUGUGUGAUGAAGGCUUUCGGGUCGUAAAGCACUGUUGUAUGGGAAGAACAGCUAGAAUAGGAAAUGAUUUUAGUUUGACGGUACCAUACCAGAAAGGGACGGCUAAAUACGUGCCAGCAGCCGCGGUAAUACGUAUGUCCCGAGCGUUAUCCGGAUUUAUUGGGCGUAAAGCGAGCGCAGACGGUUUAUUAAGUCUGAUGUGAAAGCCCGGAGCUCAACUCCGGAAUGGCAUUGGAAACUGGUUAACUUGAGUGCAGUAGAGGUAAGUGGAACUCCAUGUGUAGCGGUGGAAUGCGUAGAUAUAUGGAAGAACACCAGUGGCGAAGGCGGCUUACUGGACUGCAACUGACGUUGAGGCUCGAAAGUGUGGGUAGCAAAC